rnacentral:rRNA from 1 species
AAAGGGUGCGUAGGUGGCGUGCCAAGCGUGGGGUGAAAGGCCGCGGCUCAACCGCGGUGAGCCCCGCGAACUGGCAUGCUUGAGUGCAGGAGGGGAAAGCGGAACUCCCAGUGUAGCGGUGAAAUGCGUAGAUAUUGGGAAGAACACCGGCGGCGAAGGCGGCUUUCUGGACUGUAACUGACACUGAGGCACGAAAGCGUGGGGAGCAAACAGGAUUAGAUACCCUGGUAGUCCACGCCGUAAACGAUGAGCGCUAGGUGUCGGGGCCUAACAGCCCCGGUGCCGGAGCUAACGCAUUAAGCGCUCCGCCUGGGGAGUACGCACGCAAGUGUGAGACUCAAAGGAAUUGACGGGGACCCGCACAAGCAGCGGAGCAUGUGGUUUAAUUCGAAGCAACGCGAAGAACCUUACCAGGGCUUGACAUCCCGCCGACAGGGGCCCAAAAGCCCCCUCCCUCGGGCGGCGGAGACAGGUGGUGCAUGGUUGUCGUCAGCUCGUGUCGUGAGAUGUUGGGUUAAGUCCCGCAACGAGCGCAACCCUUGCUUCUAGUUGCCAGCGCGUCAAGGCGGGCACUCUAGAAGGACUGCCGGGGAUAACUCGGAGGAAGGUGGGGACGACGUCAAAUCAUCAUGCCCCUUAUGCCCUGGGCUACACACGUGCUACAAUGGCCGGCACAGCGGGAUGCGAAGCGGCGACGCGGAGCGAAUCACGAAAACCGGCCCCAGUUCGGAUCGCAGGCUGAAACCCGCCUGCGUGAAGCCGGAGUUGCUAGUAAUCGCGGAUCAGAACGCCGCGGUGAAUACGUUCCCGGGUCUUGUACACACCGCCCGUCACACCAUGGAAGUUGGGGGCGCCCGAAGUCGGCCGGCAAAUAGGCUGCUAAGCGAUCA